rnacentral:rRNA from 1 species
GGGCUAAUACAUGCUAAAAGCGCUGACUACUAGGGGCAACUCUGGUUCGGAAGGCGUGAAUUUAUUAGAUUAAAAAACCAAUGUGGAGUUCGCUCCACUCAAUUACCUAGACGAUUCAUGAUAACGCAUCGAAUCGCGGCUUUACGCUGCGAUGAUACAUACGAAUUUCUGCCCUAUCAACUUUCGAUGGUUGGAUAGAGGCCAACCAUGGUCGUAACGGGUAACGGAGAAUUAGGGUUCGAUUCCGGAGAUGGAGCCUGAGAGAUGGCUACAACUUCCACGGAAGGCAGCAGGCGCGCAAAUUACCCAAUCCCGAUACGGGGAGGUAGUGACAUGAAAUACCGAUGCCCGGCCCUAUAGGGUCGUGAUGUUGGAAUGAGUACAAUUUAAACCCCUUAACAAGGAACAAUUGGAGGGCAAGUCUGGUGCCAGCAGCCGCGGUAAUUCCAGCUCCAAUAGCGUAUAUGAAAGUUGUUGCAGUUAAAAAGCUCGUAGUUGGAUUUCGGAUUGAUCAGGAUGUGGUCCGCAGAUUGUGUGUACCGCGCUUGGUUAUCCUUCCUUGGGGACAAAAGUAGGUAGUUCAGGGUGUCAUCAAGCAAUUGGUGGCAUCAGGGGCUAUCCACUCCCCAUCGUUUACUUUGAGAAAAUUAGAGUGUUCAAAGCAGGCGUAACCCAGCCUUGAAUACUGUAGCAUGGAAUGAUGAAACAAGACGAGAGUCUUAUUUUGUUGGUUUCUAGGGCUUUUGUAAUGAUUAAAAGGGACAGUUGGGGGCAUUUGUAUUCAAUUGUCAGAGGUGAAAUUCUAGGAUUAAUUGAAGACAAACUACUGCGAAAGCAUUUGCCAAGGAUGUUUUCAUUAAUCAAGAACGAAAGUAGGGGGAUCGAAGAUGAUCAGAUACCGUCGUAGUCUCUACCAUAAACUAUGCCGACCAAGGAUUCGGAGAAGUUAAGUUAAAUGACUCCCCGAGCACUUUGUGAGAAAUCAUCAAGUCGUUGGGUUCCGGGGGGAGUAUGGUCGCAAGGCUGAAACUUAAAGGAAUUGACGGAAGGACACCACCAGGCGUGGAACCUGCGGCUUAAUUUGACUCAACACGGGAAAACUUACCAGGUCCAGACAUAGUAAGGAUUGACAGAUUGAGAGCUCUUUCUUGAUUCUGUGGGUGGUGGUGCAUGGCCGUUCUUAGUUGGUGGAGCGAUCUGUCUGGUUAAUUCCGUUAACGAACGAGACCUUAACCUGCUAACUAGUCGCGGUUGUCGUAAGACAUGCCGUCUUGACUUCUUAGAGGGACUAUUCGAUUUUUGCGCGAAUGGAAGCUUGAGGCAAUAACAGGUCUGUGAUGCCCUUAGAUGUUCUGGGCCGCACGCGCGUUACACUGACAAAUUCAACGAGUUUUUUCUCCUUAGCUGGAAAGCUUGGGUAAUCUUUUGAAAGUUUGUCGUGCUGGGGAUAGAUGCUUGUAAUUAUUCAUCUCGAACCAGGAAUGCCUAGUAAGCACACGUCAUCAACGUGUGCUGAUUACGUUCCUGUCCUUUGUACACACCGCCCGUCGCUCCUACCGAUUGAAUGGUCCGGUGAGAACUUUGGAUGGCGCUGCUUUUACAAGUUGCCGCAAGGUGGCUUGGGGUAAUGCCAGAAAUUGCUCAAACCUUACCAUUUAGAGGAAGGAGAAGUCGUAACAAGGUA